CAGUAGCCGCGGGAAUACGAAGGGGGCUAGCGUUGUUCGGAUUAACUGGGCGUAAAGGGCGCGUAGGCGGAUCUUUAAGUCAGGGGUGAAAUCCCGAGGCUCAACCUCGGAACUGCCUUUGAUACUGGAGAUCUUGAGUCCGGGAGAGGUGAGUGGAACUGCGAGUGUAGAGGUGAAAUUCGUAGAUAUUCGCAAGAACACCAGUGGCGAAGGCGGCUCACUGGCCCGGUACUGACGCUGAGGCGCGAAAGCGUGGGGAGCAAACAGGAUUAGAUACCCGUGUAGUCCCUGUCUCUUAUAC
rnacentral:rRNA from 1 species